UACGAAGGGGGCAAGCGUUGUUCGGAAUUAUUGGGCGUAAAGGGAGCGUAGGCGGUUCGGCAAGUCUUUAGUGAAAUCUCUGGGCUCAACUCAGAGUCUGCUGGAGAAACUGCCGGGCUGGAGUAUGGGAGAGGUGAGUGGAAUUCCCGGUGUAGCGGUGAAAUGCGUAGAUAUCAGGAGGAACACCGGUGGUGUAAACGGCUCUCUGGACCGUAACUGACGCUGAGGCACGAAAGCGUGGGUAGCAAACAGG
rnacentral:rRNA from 1 species